rnacentral:tRNA from 1 species
GAGGAUAUAGCUCAGUGGUAGAGCGCGUGCUUAGCAUGCAUGAGGUCCUGGGUUCAAUCCCCAGUACCCCCA